ensembl:lncRNA
AGAACUAUUUCUCCUAAAAUCUGCCACGGCUGCCUUGCAAACAAAAACCAAGGACAUAACACUUACAUGAAUUGUUUUUAUACAGACCUCCCCUGUUCCAGCCCAUCUAAUGACCUUUUUGACAAGUACCUGGAACUCUGUGCCCCUAAGUGGAUUUCACUCUGUACUGAAUAACUGUUCAGCCACGUCAUAUCCUUUGUGGAAUGAGAAAGAAGUAAAUGGCAGAGUUCCCGUCGUGGCGCAGUGGUUAACGAAUCCGACAAGGAACCAUGAGGCUGCGGGUUUGAUCCCUGGCCUUGCUCAGUGGGUUAAGGAUCUGGCGUUGCCAUGAACUGUGGUGUAGGUUGCAGACGCAGCUCGGAUCCUGCGUUGCUGUGGCUCUGGUGUAGGCCAGCAGCUACAGCUCCAAUUCGACCCCUAGCCUGGGAAUCUCUAUAUGCCAUGGGAGUGGCCCAAGAAAUGGCAAAAAGACAAAAAAAAAAGAAAAAGAAAAAAGAAAAAAAAGAAAAGUAAAUGGCUUUAACUGUGCAAAUGGAAGAGAGAAGAAGGAAAGAAAAUUAAAAACUAAUAAUGGUGAAACUGACAUUUACUAAGUGUCAUGUAUUAUCCACUGACUAGUAACUGGCUCAUACUUCCUCUCAACUCUGAAUAAGCUAUUAUUAUCCCCAUCUUACAUAGAAGAAAAACAAAGCAAAGAGCAGUCGUAUAACUCUUCUAAAAUUACAGAGCUGGUAAAUGCAGUCACUGGGACUUUACCUAGAGAGUCUGGCAUCAGGGCCUUUGCUAUUUUAUCCUGUGCUCUAUUGCCUCCUAAAUGGUCUAAAAAUUAGGUAUAGCAUUGUUUAACUUUAGAGGAUGGCUAUUUUUACACAAAAUUCAUUUUAUCUAGGUUUCUAUUUCCUGAACACACAUUAACAGAAGUUAAGUGGUUUGAAAUGGUGGGAGGUCUGUGAUUUAAAUUUUGCCGUGGAUGAGAGAUAGAUGGGUUGAGAGUUUGUGGUUAGCAGAUGCAAACUAUUAUACAGAGUGUGGAUAAACAACAAGUCCAACUGUAUAGCACAGGGAACUGUAUUCAGUAUGCCAUGAUAAACCAUGAUGGAAAAGAACAUGAAGAGAAAAGGAUGUGUAUAUAGACAUAUAAUCCGGAUGUAUAUGUAUAUAUAUGUAUGUAUAUGCAUACCUGAAUCACUUUGCUUCACAAAGUGAAUCACUUUUCACUUUAUGCAGAAAUUAACACAAAGUUAUAAAUCAACUAUACUUCGAUAAAAUUAUAUAUACUAUAUAUAUUUAUAUAUAUGCAAAUAAUACACAUACAAAAAUUUUGUCGUGGAGUUCUUGUUGUGGCUCAGAGG